UCAUGACCUCCAGAUUUAAGACAUUCUUCAAGACAAUUUUGAGUAUGAUCCAAGAGAAAAUGUGAUUUGAGUCUGGAGACAAUUGUGAAUAUCAGCUAAUGGUAAAAGCCCAGUGUAUCUGACUGAAAAGAAAACAUUAUUUGGAAGAUUGCUGUAAUAAAAAGAGAAGUUUCUUUUAGUUUGAUUCAUAUAUAUAGCAUAUUUCAUUUCGGCUUUAAUGAUGGAGAAAAAAAAAUGUUUCCUGUCUUUUCUGUUCCUCUUGCCUUUUUUCAUGGUAAGCAUAAAUUUCUCUAAUGUAUCCCCCUACCUAUGAUUGUUUCUGUUUUAGCUUUUAAUAUACCCAUCAUUGAUAAAGGUUAAUAACACAAAAUUACAUAAUAUAGUUAUUUGAUGCAUAAAUAAGUGCACCUUUAUAUCUAAUCAACACAGCAAUAAUUCAUUUUCUUUCAGUGUACCUUUUUAGGCUUUUGGUCCUGUAACAGUCACCCUAGUAUUAUGUUGCAUUGGGAAGGGUGGUAUCAAAGCAAGGAAGUAUGAUAGAUAUAAAAGUGCAGACACCAGGGGAAAGUAAUUACCAGAGUUUUAAAAAAAAAAAAUGGAAUGGCUAUAUAGCACAGUCAUACAUAAUAGAUGAAAUAUUUUCAAUCAGACCUGCUGAUUCUGAGUUAGCUAUGUUAAAAAAGCAAUUCCAGCCUGUUGAUUUUCUUCCCAUUCUGCCGACUGAUUGACUUGUAUUGACUGAAAGGCAUUUUGGAAACAAUCACUAUGUUUUAAAUUAAUUUCCUCAUCCAUUUCAUUCAAAUAAGUAUUAAAUGUCCGUUUUCUGACAGGCGUUGAUGCUAAGUUUGGGGCAGAUGUGUAUGUGAGUAUGUGCACUCCUGCAUGCCUCUGCCUGUAUAUGCAGGGGAGGUGGGGCUGGAAGCGGAGGGUAGACAAGAUGACUAAAACGCGAUUGCCGUACUAGAGGGGCUGUAUGCUUUAUAUACUUAAUGUUACUUUUGUUUACAGAAAUAUUUUGUUCCCAUUUUUCUCCCUUAUUAAAGCAGUGACUGCACUCUUACUACAACAACAAAUACUCUUAUCAUAUGUAUGAGAAACUGAGAGACAUAAUCUCAUCUAACUCUGUGCCAGCAAAUAAUUCUCCUGUGGUGUUUCCAAGUAAACCCCAGGAAGAGCCAAGCAAAGAGACUCAAGAAAAAUAUAGAAAACUUAAAUGGGAAAAAAGCACGACUGCAUUCCUGUUAGCAUUUGUAUUUAAAAACAUUCUCAAGUAUAGGAGCAGUCCAGAUUCUACACUUUUCAGAUGUUAUCUUAGGUAAACAGACUAGAAUUCAAGAAACAGGACUCCUGUUUCUUAGGCUCCCACCCUCAACUGAGCCUGCCAAUGAUCUGCACUGGCCAAAGCUGGUUCCCUGCAGGUAAUUCUGUAACAGAUUACCAACCCGAUUACUGUAAUUUAAGGAAUUGUGACCGUUUCUCUUGAAUUCAUUCAGACAACAUGCAUAUCUGACUUUUAAAGUAAGAAUAAAAAUGAUAUUGGUUUUAUGCAAUUCUAAAAACUGAGAACAGGAGAAAAGUAUUUUUCCUUGAUGCUGUAAAUUUCCAUUUUUAACUCGUGCAGCACAACAACUGCAUAAAUCUUUGUUAAGAAAUUAAAAACAAUCUAAGAAUGAAAAAGUUAAUGUUGAAUGGUGGUGAGGUGAUGGGAAAGCUAGAGUGGUGUCACACACUGAGGGACUAUUACUAUUUAUUUUACAUUUAAAUUAACUCCAACUUACUGCUAGAGAACAGUAGUAAGAAAAUUAAGAAUAAAGAAGCAACGUAAGAAUAGAAAGAUAACUGUUUAUGGAAAAUAGAUAGGAAUAAUGCAAAAAAGAAGAAGAAAUAAAGUUGAAGAGAAGUUUAUAUAGGCUUCAUGCUAUGAAACAAGGAAAAAAAGUCAUGUAGAAAUUAAAGUGUAAGUGAAACUUAAAAUAAUGCUGCUAAAGUGGAAGAAUAUAAAUAUAGACCUUGUCCAAAACAUUUAUUGAUGUGCAUACAAUUAAAAUUCUAUUAACCAACAGUAUAAAUGAACUACUUGUCAUUAUUUUAUCAAAAUGUAAAUAUAAAAAUGGCAACAGUUUUGAGCAUUUACCAUGUGCCAGAUACUUCCCCUUCAUUAUCUUGAUACUAUUUUAACCCAUUUUACAAUAAGAAAGCAGAGGUUUUGGUGGGGCUGUGUGGUGGGGUGGAGAUUAAAUAUCUUUUCUACAUUGUCAGGUUAAAAAGUAGAGGUGGAAUUUGAAUACAGCUGUCUGCAUUCCAGAAAGCUGGCCUGGAGCUGGCCCCCACAGGCUUUGAGGGGGAACUAUGGACUGUACUUCCCAGUGCUGCCACUGGCAACUCUUGGUGGUGGU